GAUGAACGCUGGCGGCGUGCCUAAUACAUGCAAGUCGAGCGAACAGACGAGGAGCUUGCUCCUCUGACGUUAGCGGCGGACGGGUGAGUAACACGUGGAUAACCUACCUAUAAGACUGGGAUAACUUCGGGAAACCGGAGCUAAUCCCGGAUAAUAUAUUGAACCGCAUGGUUCAAUAGUGAAAGACGGUUUUGCUGUCACUUAUAGAUGGAUCCGCGCCGCAUUAGCUAGUUGGUAAGGUAACGGCUUACCAAGGCAACGAUGCGUAGCCGACCUGAGAGGGUGAUCGGCCACACUGGAACUGAGACAGGGUCCAGAGUCCUACGGGAGGCACCAGUAGGGAAUCUUCCGCAAUGGGCGAAAGCUUGACGGAGCAAGGCCGCGUGAGUGAUGAAGGUCUUCGGAUCGUAAAACUCUGUUAUUAGGGAAGAACAAAUGUGUACGUAACUAUGCACGUCUUGACGGUACCUAGUCAGAAAGCCACGGCUAACUACGUG
rnacentral:rRNA from 1 species